GAAAGAAGGAGAGAGGGAGGGGGGAGGAAGGAAAGAAAGGAAGGACGGAAGGACAGAAGGAAGGAAGGAGGGAGGGAGGGAUCAGAAAUCAUAGCCAGUGAAACCCAGGAAAACCAUCAGGCAGGAAUUAGGAUGGUGCUUUAUCCAGGUUUGCAUUCCCAACAUUUAGCACCAUACGCACCAAAAAAAUAUUGUCAGAUGAAUAGUGAACCACAGUCAAACACUGAGUAAACCUGGCAGUUGGCAUCACAGGGGAGGGUGCGUGGUCACUGGACUCUGAGUGGGUCGCUGUUUUUCAUGCCAAGUCAUGACAGUAGGAUUCAGUGUGCUGGGGGAACACAGUUUUAUGAAUCUCACUUUAAAAAAACUGCAAGUGCUAUAAAUAGAAGCCUUCAUAAUUUUGAGAUAAUAAUGGUAAAAAUGAUCAUUUUUGCUUAUUAUUUGUGAUGGUUAAUAUUGUGUCAACUUGAUUGAAUUGAAGGAUGCAACGUACUGUUCCCAGGUGUGUCUGUGAGGGUGUUGCCGAAGAAGAUGAACACUUGAGACAAUGGACUGGGAGAGGCAGAGCCACCCUCCCUCUGGGUGGGCACCCAGCUGCCAGCGCAGCUGCAAGCGCAGCUAGAAUCAGCUUCCAGCACAGCUAGAGUAAAGCAGGCAGAGGAACGCGGAAGGGUUAGACUGCCUGAGUCUCCCGACCUUCGUCUUUCCCCUGUGCCGGAUGCUUCCUGCCCUCAAACAUCGGACUCCAGGUUCUUCAGCUUUUGGACUCUUGGACUCACACCAGGGGUUUGCCAGGGGCUCUCGGGCCUUUGGCCACAGACUGAAGGCUGCGCUAUCGGCGUCCCUACUUUUGGGGAUUGGGACUUGUACUGGCUUCCUUGCUCCUCGGCUUGCAAACAGCCUACUGUGGGACCUCACCCUGUGAUCAUGUACAUCAGGGAAAGGUGCGUCCCUCCCAGUGAAGCUGGAAGGUUGAAGUCCUGACACCUCCCGCGGUCUGAGCAGCUGCGCGAUGAACUGGAUAGUGCUGGAAUGUGGGACAACGGAGGCAGACUCAGAAGUCGGAACAUUGUUUCAGGAUCACACAGAAAGAGACAUGAUUUUCAUAGGUAAGUGCUGGUUUUUUUUUUUUUUUGUCGUUGGAAAAAAGUUUCUCACUAAUAACUAUCUAAAAGGGAAAUAAUUACAGUUUCAGACAUUCCAAAAAUCCCCGUGAAGAGGGUUUUGUUUUGGUUUUGGUUCUUUGUGGUGUGCCUUACAGCUUUCCCUGAGGUGACACACUUACUGACCUACGGCUAGGGCAAGUAGGUGGAAAAAAGCAAGCUUUCCUGCCUCUGGAGAAAGGAAGGGUCAGGUGUAACACCGAAGUGACUCAGAAGUAGGGGAGCUUGUCUCAGCUCUGGCCUGCACAGUGGUUCCUCUGUUCUUUACAUAGAGAAGAAAGGAGGAGAAAGCUCAAAGCAAUGCCCUUGACUUAACCCUUCAGAGGGCAGAAGUGGCCAAUCUUUAUUUUGCUGUUUUGGUUAUUGUUCAUUUAAAUUCCAUGUGCCAAUUCCGACUGAUUAGCAGUGGCUGCUUGGAGCACUGUGUGAGGAAGAAUUCUCAGGCACGUGGUGAUCAUUCAGCUAGCGCUUGCCGAAUGUCGAAUGAAUGAAUGGCUGUCUUGGACACGGGGAAAGGAGUGGUGCUACGUGUGUCGCAGGGUUGCCUCGAGUUGACCCCAAGGAAGACAUUCUAAAGAGGAGAAGGUUAGGGAUGAGAGACAAAGAUGCAUGCUAAGGCUCAUGAGCUGUUCUCCUAACAGAUAACGCCUGACCCGGCCUUGGACGUCAGUACACAUGAGUAAACGGUGGAAGGAUGCUACGUUUAUUGGCCAUGUCCAUCUGAACUUUAAAAAUAAUGCAUGGUCUUUAACGCUGUCUCCACCCACAGGUCUAGUUCUAGCAAUUUAACCUAAGGAAACAAAUAAGGAUGUGAACAAAGCCUUAGCUACGGUGGUGUUUUACAGAAGCGUUUUGGGCAAGAGAGAAACCCAUGCAAAGGAAUUUGGUUCAAAAAGAGGUUAACGUGAGGCAGCAUUUCUCAAAGUUGGCCUGUUGACAUCUGGGGACAGGUAAUUCUGUGUUGUAGGGGCUGUCCUGCACGUCGUGGGAUGCUUAUCAAUGUCUCUGGUUUAAUCCAGUAGAUGCCAGCAGCAGCCCCUCCCUAGCUGUGACAACCCAAAAUACCUUCAGAUUUUGCCAGAUGUCUCCUGGGAGGAGUGGGAAACCCGAACCACUCCCCAAGUAAGAAUCGCUGAUGUGAGGGUAUAGAACUCAUGGCAAUUCAGAAAAAGCUGAAUAACCAGGAUUCAGAAUCUGAAGAGCUGCCACAUCUGGAGUGCAAUCAUCUCUCUUACUGCCCUUUCCCCCCGCUGACCUCGUUUGUCCUAUAGAUCUGUAGGACAUAGAUCUGCUCCGUUUUUCCUCUGAGUCUCUGCUCUUCAUAAUUGCAAUGUGUACCUAGAGGAAUAAUGACACCCCACACAUAACUUUGUAUGGCCUUUCAGCUCAAUUAUCCACCACUGACUGCUGACUUUUUUCUGCUCCUUAGUUUAAGAAAGAAGGGAGCUGAUUGGUUCUGCUCAUUGUAAAAAGUCAGGUGAGUGGGCUUAGGCAACUGGCUGCUGAAGGAUGAUCUCUAACCUGCUCUGGGGCAGGUGUCCAUCUCCUGCUAGGCCAGUUGUGAGUGGACGAAUUUAAAGAGUCCUCAAAAAUGUCAGUGAUCAUGUUGCUCGUUGCAAUAUGUUUUUCUUGCUUCUUCACCUGUCUGGCAAUUUAUGAUUAGAUUCAAGACCUUGUAACUUUACCUUGUUUAGAACACUGGGUAUAUUUCAAAAUCAUUGAUUUGUAUUUUGUCUAGUUUUUUAGUUUGGAGGAUAAACCUGGCUUCUUUUAUUUCACCUUAUCUAGAAGCAAAAUUUCACAAUGGGCUUUUUAAGAUUAAAAACUGGAAGCAACCUAGAGAAUUUCACCAAGAGAAUUGCACGUAUAGACAGCAUUGUCAGAAUGAAAUUCCAUCCACAUGAUCAGGGACCCUGUAGGUG
ensembl:lncRNA